GUUUCCGUAGGUGAACCUGCGGAAGGAUCAUUAAUGAAUAUCUAUGGCGUUGGUUGUAGCUGGCUUCUAGGAGCAUGUGCACACCCGUCAUUUUUAUCUUUCCACCUGUGCACCAAAUGUAGAUCUGGGUAACUCUCGCUUAUCACAAGCGGAUGCAGGGAUUGCCGUGUCGCAAGACCGGCUCUCUUUGAAUUUCCAGGUCUAUGUACCUUUAUACACCCCAAUCGUAUAAUGAAGAAUGUAGUCAAUGGGCUCUAAGCCUAUAAAACAAUAUACAACUUUCAGCAACGGAUCUCUUGGCUCUCGCAUCGAUGAAGAACGCAGCGAAAUGCGAUAAGUAAUGUGAAUUGCAGAAUUCAGUGAAUCAUCGAAUCUUUGAACGCACCUUGCGCUCCUUGGUAUUCCGAGGAGCAUGCCUGUUUGAGUGUCAUUAAAUUCUCAACCUCGUCAGUUUUGUUAUGAAGCUGUGUGAGGCUUGGAAGUGGGGGUUUGUGCAGGCUGCCUCAGUGCGGUCUGCUCCCCUGAAAUGUAUUAGCGAGUUCCAACUGGGCUCCGUCUAUUGGUGUGAUAAUUAUCUACGCCGUGGAUUGGGCUUAGACUUGCUUCUAACCGUCCGCAAGGACAAUCUUUUUGACAAUUUGACCUCCAAAUCAGGUAGGACUACCCCGCUGACCUUAAGCA
rnacentral:rRNA from 1 species